GUCGAACGAACUGAUAGGAGCUUGCUCCUUGAAGUUAGUGGCGGACGGGUGAGUAACGCGUGGGUAACCUGCCCUAUGCAGGGGGAUAACGUUUGGAAACGAACGCUAAUACCGCAUAAACUAUCGGUAAUCGCAUGAUUACUAUAGUAAAGAUUUAUCGGCAUAGGAUGGACCCGCGUUGGAUUAGCUAGUUGGUGAGAUAAUAGCCCACCAAGGCGACGAUCCAUAGCCGGCCUGAGAGGGUGAACGGCCACAUUGGGACUGAGACACGGCCCAAACUCCUACGGGAGGCAGCAGUGGGGAAUAUUGCACAAUGGGCGCAAGCCUGAUGCAGCGACGCCGCGUGAAGGAUGAAGGUCUUCGGAUUGUAAACUUCUAUCAGCAGGGAAGAAUAAAUGACGGUACCUGACUAAGAAGCCCCGGCUAACUACGUGCCAGCAGCCGCGGUAAUACGUAGGGGGCGAGCGUUAUCCGGAUUUACUGGGUGUAAAGGGUGCGUAGGCGGUUUGUUAAGUCAGAAGUGAAAUUUAGGGGCUCAACCUCUAAGCUGCUUCUGAAACUGAUGGACUAGAGUGUAGGAGAGGAAAGCGGAAUUCCACGUGU
rnacentral:rRNA from 1 species